rnacentral:ncRNA from 1 species
CGGUUCCCCUUCAAGAUGUCUUCACAAGGGGAAUAAUAGGGAAUACGGAAAAAUCGACCGGAAACCGGGAUUUUAGCCGUGGCUGCCCCCGCAACUGUAAACGGCAGCACCUUUGCCGGGAAAUACCCCGGGCCACUGCGCAAGCGGGAAGGCUAUAAAGGUGAAAAAAUCGCCGUCAGCCAGGAGACCUGCCGUCAAUAA